UUGCGGAUUAUUUAUUUAUUUAAAUUAUUUUUUAUUUUCUGUAGAGCAUCAGCUCUCCAGAAAAAUGGUCAGGAUCCUACCAGCAAGGGUAUUUUUCUUCCUGUGAGUUACCCUGCUGCUCUCUCCCGUCUCUUGCCUCGGACUUUGGCUUGCACCUAGCACACAGACAGGGUCAAUCCACCACACCCGAAAAUGUGACAGUGUAGGGUACUGAAUGCCACAGACUACAGCUGAAGAGAGUAUCUACCUAUGAAGAGAAUCUUGAAGUAGAUUAUAAUACUUGCUAAAACACAGAUCAACCAGUAAACAUAGACAAGAACAGAUGAAACUUUGGAUAUCACGUAUCUGUAGCUUAAAGAGAGAUUAAAUAUGUCUACAUUUACUGUAAAGACUUGAAUGUAUAAAAAGUUGCAAAAAUGGAUAACAGUGGGAUAGCAUGUAACCUGUCAUACAGGUUAUUGUGUAUUUGUUGUUUUAUAGUGUACUGUGUUGUUGUUUUAUAAAAGUACUGCUCUGUCCUAACUACUCCUGAAUGAGUGUCAAUCUGUCCCAGCAUGGCGUGUCAUGUGCUCUGAAGGCUUCUGUGGGGGACUUGUUUGCAUUCCUACUAAUCCACAUUUCCAGUGGGCUUUGUUUUCUCCAGACAUCUUGGAGGAACAGAUGAAAAAAUUUCAAGAAUUGUAUCACUAUGAAGAGAACAUAGAAAAACCUGUCAACCUGGACCUUAAAGCCCCAUAAUCUUCACAUUUCAAAGGGCACUUAAUAUAGUCUUACAGCUUAAUACUGUGGUAGGAAAUAAAACACUUCCCAGUGCAUAGUGAAGGAUAUCAAUGAAUCUAGCAAAGAAACUCUGAAAUCACAGAUGGCCUUUCCUAAUGUCCCUAAGCUUCCCUUUAGUAAUAUAUAUUAUUUAUACAAAUUAGCUGCUGAGAAUUGCAGGGACAAAAAAGAGUUUUAUAAUCAGAGCUGUAUGAAAUGGAGGACAGUGAAACCAGAUUAAAAGAACUAGAUAAGCCUGACAAGCAGGAUUAAUGUGAGAUCUGAAGUGACAUAAAUCAUACCCUGAAGUUAACAAGAGCUGAGUUAUGCCUUUUUCAUGCUGUGUCUUCAUGCUGCUAGCCAAGACACAGCCUGAACCCUUGUGGGAGCAAAUGUUUUCCUGUGGCUUUGAGUAUCUCUGAGAGCAUUUAUAACCUGCUGUGUUACAGGAGAUUUGGUUCACAAUUUAAAUAGUUAAGAUACAUACAGGUGAAGAUAGAUAUGGGACAGUGACAAAUACCAGUUUUAAAAGUGGUCUGAACAGCCACAGUUAUUAAGUGUAGAUUUUGAGUCACAAUUUCAGUUCACUCUGAUGCUACAGAGAGCCUCUGCUACAAAGGAACUUCAUCUGGGAACUGGCUCUUCAUCUGGGUCCAUAUAAUUUAUCCAUACCAUUGCUGAUCAUAGGGGCAGGGUGGGAUAGAAAAGAUUACCCUGCUGAAAGUAUUUUUUAAAAGUAUUUUAAAACUAGUAAUUAGAUUAGAAACUGUUAGUAACAAACACUGAGAAAAAUCUGUGUGUGCAAUUGUUUAUUUGCAUAUAGGAUCUAGGACAGAACAUAGCACACUACUGUGUUUCUCUCAGAUUUUAGCUUUCUGUAUACUACUUUUUAACUUCUGGUGUUUUUAUAUUCUUAAAACAUAACCUUUCCUCUAAUGGAGUUACCAGCUUGGGAUUUAGCUAUUGUCACAUGUUUCAGAGGAACUUGGUUGUGUCCAGAAACACCUUUCGUAGUCAGGCAAAUUAUUGUAAGUUAUUGCCUGCAUGUUCUUGCUGAAGAGGUACUGUGUGGGCAAUAUCUGUUGUGUGCUUCAACAGACAACCUAACACUACCUGGAAUAAAACUUGUCAGGGUAAAAAAUGUGUUUUUCUAACAGCAAUAAGCAAUAUGGGUUAGGAUAAAGAAAUCUGUUGUGCUGUUCUAAAUAAAGUGAAUGUUUUGCUGAAAAUGAAUACAUUGAGGGGGAAGAAGUUGAGACAUCAUGUCAUUUCCACAUUUUUAAAAUAAUGACAAAGACUUGGUGUUUUUUCAUUUUUUAUUGGCUCAAAUUGCAGGAAGCAUGCUAGUUACAACUAGCAAACAAUGAGGUUAUGAGCUCUGAGUCUAGAUCAUGUGUGGCUUAGCUUAAACUGAGGUUCAUGUUGAUAGGUAGGACCCCAGAAGAGGCUUUUUUGUGAGCUAGGCUUGUUAAGGAUGGCCCUGAGAUGGAGCAUUUUUAUAUUAAAGAAGCAUCAUUGGGUCUGUUAUUUGGCAGAGCAGCUAAGGAAAUGUGAUGGGCUAGCACGGCAUGAAGUGCAGUGAAGGAAAUUUCCAGGCUGCAAGUAGUCUCUGCAAGUAGUGACCUCUACAAUUUUCUCUGCAAGUAGUGACCUGAAUCACAGCAAACACUCAGCUACAGAGUGAGAACCAGUGAAAGGAAGCAAAAAAUGCCUGCCUAGAUUCCCAGCACUUUGGGAAUGUGGAGAGGAACACAGAUAUGCAUAAAUUUUCACCAUACUUUAUUGAAGUGUUUUGUUCUUUGCGGAUUGCUUCAUAAUCUCUCAUGCAGGUGAAGUUUCUGCAAAGACAUGUUUUGGCAUCUUACUUAAUAUCCUCUGUUAAGUAGGAAUUUGCUGAAGCUGUAGUUUCAGACAACACUGCCCGUGAGAAAGUACUUAAAAAAAAAUUGAGUAUAAUGAAAACGAAGGUCUUUCCCUUGCUGUGGAAAGCAUUAAGCAUGGGCAGUUGUGUAAGAGAACCAAAUGUUUGCCAGUGACUAUCCAAGGUUGCUUCAGUGUCAAUAGUUGUGUAAACAUGGCAUAUCCUAUGGCAGCAUAACAUCAAGCCAAGGCUGGUUGUUGUACAGAAAAAUCUUUAUUUCUGAGUGACCAAUUGAUAAGGACAUCUUCAGAAUACAGUCUCAGCCUCCUCUUUGGCUCUGUGUCCUUACACCCUUGAGUAUCUCCAAAGAAAUCUUGUAUUUUUUUCUUCUCCCUUAGCACAUGCAUUGUGUAUAUCAUAGUCUCCGUGGAUGGUAAUGCAUUUUCAUGGUUUGCCAUGGUUUAUCUUUGCUUCCCUACUUUUUCCUGCUAUAAAUUCUGUGUAAGAUCAUUGUGCAGCCUACUAAAUCCAUUAAAGCAACAGAAACCUACAGACUUUGAAGACCAAUUCAUUAGUACAUGGUAAUGUUAAGGAGAAUGUAACCUUCCAGAAGAUUGCACUAACUUCACAAUUCAGUAAACAAAUCUGUAAUGGUAAUAGGAGAGAAAUGUAUGCAGAGAUCUGUGGAAGAAGUAGAAGACAACCAUAGUGGAUGCUUGAAUAUGGAUAAUUAAGUGAAACUCUCUAGUGUAAAACAGUUUGUGCAAAUUAACACACUUGUUCUCAAUAUACAUGUAAACAUGAGUCCUUUUUGCUUCAGCAAAAAAUCAUUGACUGAAGUUCUGCAAAAAUCUGCAAAAAUGAAGAAGACACACUGGGGACCUAAUAGUUCUGAGGCUUGUGCAAAAGUCUUCACUUUGAUCUGCAUCAAAGCUGCUGCUUCAAAGUUAUUUCUAAAGGACAGAGACUGAAAUUGGAAAAGGAAGGGAAAGUAAUGCAUGAGCCUAAUGUAUUAAAGAGUCUCUGUUUUUCUGACUGGCUGGUUUCUGUGCUGCAAUGAAUGCAAGAUGAGAAACGGAGAGUAAAUGAGCCAUAAUUAAGUAGCAAUGGUAGCAAUGCACUUGAUUUGGCUGUUUGUGUUGUUAAUCUGUUAGACUGUUUGCCACAGAAUCUACCCAGAGGAAUACUAGGAAUAUUCCCUUUAAAGACUAGAAAAGGAAGAGAAAUGGAGAAAAAAGGGGAAUAGUCAAGGAGGAAAUAUUAAUCAAAACAGGAAACUAUAAUAAACAUCAAUGUUAGAAUGUUUUUAAUGUGAUAUGACAUCUGCUGUAUACUUAAUGUCUGAAUGCCUAUAAAGACACAGUUCUUACCCAGAAAGACUUCAUAAUAUUAACAUAAUUUUAUUCAGUGUGCUUAGUUGUUAUGAUUUAAAUAUUCUGUGUUCAGUUACAUAUAUUUAUGUAUAUGUAAAAAGAUUCUAUUUUAGUCAGGUUUGACCUAAUUAUAAGUACUUUGUAUGUUUCUUAAAUGAUUUGUAGACCUGUUGCCUAGGAAAAGAAGUACAAGAGAAGUGACAUGAAACUGCUUUUCUACCUACCUGACUUGCCUCCCAACAAUGCUUGGCAAGCUUUGGUGAUUACUACACCUAAGAUGAAGGCCAUCUGGAUAGUGCUUCUGUCUUCUUUUACAAAACUUUAAAAAAAAAAAAGGUGGUCUGCUGAAGUGUUCAGGCAGGAAGCAUUACUCCCAUUUCCUAUGUGAAUAUCUCAGUUAUAUGUAGAGAAGUUCUGUUUCAAAGUUUGCAAUAAAAAUUACAAUUUGAAUAGAGAAUAAAUUUGAAAAUUCUCUCUGCUACCAAAAAAAAAAGUAGAAACUGAUUUAAAGAAUCAGUAGUACUUUGAAAUUAUGUUGUCCAACCUCAUUAUGUUUCUAAAAUUUUAAAUGCAGAAGUCUAUAAACAGAAAAUUUCUGUCUUAAAAACACAGACUGAUUCUAUGAGAUGUAUUCUAUUAUUUUUGAAGCAAUUCAGGGAGUUCAAUAUCCUUCCUCAUGUUUUGUGCAUGAAAAAAAUUGGUACAAGCUCAAUUGUGAAGAAAAACAAGAGACAUUCAGUUCACCUUUAGAAGCCAGGACUUUACUAACUUUGUGAAAAAAUAUAGAAAUUAAUAAAGGUAAGGAAUAAAAAUACAGGAAGUAUUGUUUCCAUAUAUAUUUUACAAAUUUUAUUCUUCCAGAAAAUUGAAGUGUUGAAUUUAGGAAAUGCUUUUAUUGAUUCUCUAUCAUUAAUGUUUAUAUGCCCAGUGUAAAUUGAAGAAAAUAAUUACAGGCUUUGUUGCCAAGAAUGAACUUCUGCAGAAUCAAGGAUCAAAAAUGGAACCUAACUUUGUAUCUAGCUAAAUACAUAUUUAAAUAUAGGGGCAAAGGUAAAUCUCCCAGUUUUUUUAGUAGCUCUUUGUAAUGAAGAGUAAGAAUUAGCCUUUGUACCAAUAAAAUAACUGAGAUUUACCUCUGAUUUCAGGUUAUUGAAGAGAACUGUAGAUAAGCACAGAGUCCUCAUUCAAUGAACCAUCAUACAGCACUAACAGUGCAAUCAGCUUUGUGUUUUAUAAAGAAUGAGUGUAAAAGGGAAUCAGGUCUGUGGUUUAAAUGAGAUAUUUUGUGAUAGAUGUUUGCUUUUGUCUUUGUACAAAAAGAUUCAUCUUUAUGGAAACGUGGUUGAAAUAUGAAACAUAUAUAAAUAAAAUAAACAAAUCAGUUAUAAGCAUCA